GGUCACAGCACGGUGAAACACCGAUUCCCUUAUGAUCUCCGAAGUUAAGCAACGUCGAGCUUAGUCAGUACCGGUUUUGUGUAACGGCAUGAGAAGACCACGUCUUGUA